rfam:Gossypium hirsutum cultivar TM-1 unplaced genomic scaffold scaffold2668.1, whole genome shotgun sequence
AAGAGUUUUCUUUUAAUCAAAGGGAUGAGAGAAACCAAGUUGGAGUACAGUAGGGGCGGAGGGAAUUUCCGAUGAAGCGGUGAAAUGCGUAGAGAUAGGAAAGAACACCAACGACGAAAGCACUCUGUUGGGCUGACACUGACACUGAGAAACGAAAGCUAGGGGAGCGAAUGGGAUUAGAUACCCCAGUAGUCCUAGCCGUAAACGAUGGAUACUAGGUGCUAUGCGUAUCGACCCGUGUAGUAUUAUAGUUAACACGUUAAGUAUCCC